rnacentral:lncRNA from 1 species
AUUCAUGUCCUAGAAGUUGUAGCUUCCAGCCUUUUAGUAACUACACAAAAACUGCCAAAGCUUUAGAGACAUCAUGUGAGUAUUAGUAAACACAAGUAGCCUGGACUUCUGACUGCUUAACCUCUCCUACUAAUAGUUGAUAUUCAUAUGUCGCAAUUGGGCAAGGAGCAAUCAAAUUUAUUCUUGACAACCAUUUUUUUAAAUAUGCUGUUUUUUUGUCAGUUCACCUCUUUUACACAUUUUGAUUUGAAUACAUAUAUCUCUGACGAACAAAUAUGGGAAAUAGUGUCGUUUGUCGAUAAGCUUGAUAGGAAUGUCAUUUGUCCCCACGUCUGUCUUCCCAAUCAAAUAACUAAGAUUCAUAAAUAUGUGUCUAUAUUUUUGGCAUUUUAUUUAAUUUUCAACUUUAAUCUGCAGUUUUUAAAUUGCUACUAAUUUGUAUGCAAGGAACAUCAUAUUUUGUUUAAACCUAAUUAUUAUCGCCUCACUGCAAGCUUUGGUGCAUGGGUUUGUGAUCAUGUAAACUAAUAAGCGGGGUUGUCACAACUGGUCACCAUAUUGUUAGUAUCGUACAUUAUAUCUUCAAUUUCCAGUAUAUCAAAUCAAUGAUGUCAUUUUAUAGUACGUACAGGUCGAGUUGCAAGAGGACCGUCUCAUGGCCUAUUUCAGUUGGAAACUUGCAUCAAGAUGUACUUGAGCUACAUUAAGUUUGAGGGCUAAUUUUCUACGGAUUUGUAUGCCUUGAUCAGGUAUUAGGAUCAUGGUUAUUUGUGGUAUAUGUAUAGAGGCA